UACGGAGGGUGCAAGCGUUAUCCGGAAUUACUGGGCAUAAAGGGUUCGUAGGCGGUCAAAAAAGCCAAUAGUGAAAUCCACCGGCCUAACCGGUGUAAGCUAAUGGAACUGAUUGACUUGAGUACAGGAGAGGAAAGUGGAAUUCCUAAUGUAGUAGUGAAAUGCGUAGAUAUUAGGAGGAACAUCAGUAGCGAAGGCGACUUUCUGGACUGAAACUGACGCUGAGGAACGAAAGCGUGGGGAGUAAACAGGAUUAGAUACCCUGGUAGUCCACGCCGUAAACGAUGGAUACUUGGCGUCGGCCGUAAAGGUCGGUGCCGGAGCAAAUGCAUUAAGUAUCCCGCCUGGGGAGUACGGUCGCAAGGCUGAAACUCAAAAGAAUUGACGGGGACCCGCACAAGCAGCGGAGCAUGUGGUUUAAUUCGAAGCAACGCGAAGAACCUUACCAAAUCUUGACAUAUCAGAGCUAUCUUAGUAAAAUAAGAGUUCCUUAGGGACUCUGAAUACAGGUGGUGCAUGGUUGUCGUCAGCUCGUGUCGU
rnacentral:rRNA from 1 species